UGAGGAACAUGACCUUCGGCGGGGAUAGCCGGCCCAACGGCCGGGUAAUACCGCGUACGACCUUUCGGGGACAUCCUCGGAUGGUGAAAGCAGCAAUGCGCCGAUGGAGUGCCUCGCGGCCUAUCAGCUAGUUGGUGAGGUAACGGCUCACCAAGGCGACGACGGGUAGCUGGUCUGAGAGGAUGGCCAGCCACAUUGGGACUGAGACACGGUCCAGACUCCUACGGGAGCAG
rnacentral:rRNA from 1 species